UUGACAGUAUAUUUUUUUUUUAAAUCUGUCAUUCAAACUUUUUUGAGUCAUGAAAAAACUGACUGAUAAUCUAAAAGAACUCUCAGCAAAAGGAAGAUGGGAUGAAGUUUUUGACUGCCUUCAAAUCGAUCAGGAAACCACAAUUGUUGAACUAAGUGACUUAGCUGUUUUACCAUUCACCACUGAUACAUUUCAAAUUGCUAAAGCCACCAUGAACACCUUGGAAAUUGUAUUGGAUAUUUUGGUGUUCAUCAAGUUGUUAUUAAUUAUCGCAUUGAUGAUCUAUUGUGCAUUUAUGUCACUAUCGUAUUUGCCACUAAUUUACUCUCCGCGAGCCAUUCUACAAAAAUUCAAAAGAACCACCACCCGUUGCUAAAAUUGUAUCUGAAAACGGUGUUUGCAAUUAAAUUAAACAAUAUCCGCAAUUA